ACGACGCUGGCGGCGUGCCUAAUACAUGCAAGUCGAACGCUUUUUCUUUCACCGGAGCUUGCUCCAUCGAAAGAAAAAGAGUGGCGAACGGGUGAGUAACACGUGGGUAACCUGCCCAUCAGAAGGGGAUAACACUUGGAAACAGGUGCUAAUACCGUAUAACACUAUUUUCCGCAUGGAAGAAAGUUGAAAGGCGCUUUUGCGUCACUGAUGGAUGGACCCGCGGUGCAUUAGCUAGUUGGUGAGGUAACGGCUCACCAAGGCAACGAUGCAUAGCCGACCUGAGAGGGUGAUCGGCCACACUGGGACUGAGACACGGCCCAGACUCCUACGGGAGGCAGCAGUAGGGAAUCUUCGGCAAUGGACGAAAGUCUGACCGAGCAACGCCGCGUGAGUGAAGAAGGUUUUCGGAUCGUAAAACUCUGUUGUUAGAGAAGAACAAGGAUGAGAGUAAAAUGUUCAUCCCUUGACGGUAUCUAACCAGAAAGCCACGGCUAACUACGUGCCAGCAGCCGCGGUAAUACGUAGGUGGCAAGCGUUGUCCGGAUUUAUUGGGCGUAAAGCGAGCGCAGGCGGUUUCUUAAGUCUGAUGUGAAAGCCCCCGGCUCAACCGGGGAGGGUCAUUGGAAACUGGGAGACUUGAGUGCAGAAGAGGAGAGUGGAAUUCCAUGUGUAGCGGUGAAAUGCGUAGAUAUAUGGAGGAACACCAGUGGCGAAGGCGGCUCUCUGGUCUGUAACUGACGCUGAGGCUCGAAAGCGUGGGGAGCGAACAGGAUUAGAUACCCUGGUAGUCCACGCCGUAAACGAUGAGUGCUAAGUGUUGGAGGGUUUCCGCCCUUCAGUGCUGCAGCAAACGCAUAAUGCACUCCGC
rnacentral:rRNA from 1 species